rnacentral:miRNA from 2 species
UCUUUGUGUUUAAUUUGA